rnacentral:rRNA from 1 species
AAAGGAAUUGACGGGGGCCCGCACAAGCGGAGGAACAUGUGGUUUAAUUCGAUGAUACGCGAGGAACCUUACCCGGGCUUGAACUGCAGCGGAAGGAUACAGAGAUGUUGACGCCCUUCGGGGCCGCUGUGGAGGUGCUGCAUGGUUGUCGUCAGCUCGUGCCGUGAGGUGUCGGCUUAAGUGCCAUAACGAGCGCAACCCUUUUCGUCAGUUGCCAUCAGGUGAUGCUGGGCACUCUGGCGACACUGCCACCGUAAGGUGUGAGGAAGGUGGGGAUGACGUCAAAUCAGCACGGCCCUUACGUCCGGGGCUACACACGUGUUACAAUGGGGCAUACAGAAGGCCGGUCGCCCGCAAGAGCGAUCAAAUCUUAAAAGUGUCCCUCAGUUCGGAUUGGGGUCUGCAACCCGACCCCAUGAAGCUGGAUUCGCUAGUAAUCGCGCAUCAGCCAUGGCGCGGUGAAUACGUUCCCGGGCCUUGUACACACCGCCCGUCAAGCCAUGAAAGCCGGGGGCGCUUGAAGUCCGUGACCGCAAGGAUCGGCCUAGAGCGAAACUGGUAAUUGGGGCU